rnacentral:rRNA from 1 species
AGAACGAACGCUGGCGGCAUGCCUAAUACAUGCAAGUCGAACGAACUCUUCGGAGUUAGUGGCGCACGGGUGCGUAACGCGUGGGAAUCUGCCCCUUGGUUCGGAAUAACAGUUGGAAACGACUGCGUAAUACCGGAUGAUGACGAAAGUCCAAAGAUUUAUCGCCAAGGGAUGAGCCCGCGUAGGAUUAGCUAGUUGGUGAGGUAAAGGCUCACCAAGGCAACGAUCCUUAGCUGGUCUGAGAGGAUGAUCAGCCACACUGGGACUGAGACACGGCCCAGACUCCUACGGGAGGCAGCAGUAGGGAAUAUUGGACAAUGGGCGAAAGCCUGAUCCAGCAAUGCCGCGUGAGUGAUGAAGGCCUUAGGUGUAAAGCUACUUUUACCCGAGAUGAUAAUGACAGUAUCGGGUAGAAUAAGCCCCGGACUAACCGUCCGCGCCAAGCAACGCCG